rnacentral:rRNA from 1 species
UCGAGAAUCUUCCGCAAUGGGCGCAAGCCUGACGGAGCGACGCCGCGUGCGGGAUGAAGGCCUUCGGGUUGUAAACCGCUGUCAGUGGGGAGGAAAUGCUAUGGGGUUCUCUCCAUAGUUUGACCGAUCCGCAGAGGAAGGACGGGCUAAGUUCGUGCCAGCAGCCGCGGUAACACGAACCGUCCGAACGUUAUUCGGAAUCACUGGGCUUAAAGGGUUCGUAGGCGGCCAUGUAGGUGGGGUGUGAAAUCCCUCGGCUCAACCGAGGAACUGCGCUCCAAACCACAUGGCUCGAGGGAGACAGAGGUAAGCGGAACUGAUGGUGGAGCGGUGAAAUGCGUUGAUAUCAUCAGGAACACCAGUGGCGAAGGCGGCUUACUGGGUCUCUUCUGACGCUGAGGAACGAAAGCUAGGGGAGCGAACGGGAUUAGAUACCCCCGUAGUCC